UACGGGGGGAGCAAACGUUGUUCGGAAUCACUGGGCGUAAAGGGCGUGUAGGCGGCUGGAUAAGUGGGAUGUUAAAUCCCCCGGCUCAACCGGGGACCUGCAUCUCAUACUGUUCAGCUCGAGCACAUCAGAGGAGACUGGAAUUCCCGGUGUAGCGGUGAAAUGCGUAGAUAUCUGGAGGAACACCGGUGGCGAAGGCGGCAUCCUGGACCAUUACUGACACUGAAAAGCGAAAGCCAGGGGAGCAAACGGG
rnacentral:rRNA from 1 species